rnacentral:lncRNA from 1 species
GCAACAACUACCACCACCGCGACUACGGUGGUAGGUUUUGGUUGGUGGUGGAGGAAUUGAGGGGCCAUAAUAGGCUCCGUUUAAGUUAGGUUCUGGUGCCAUAACUUAAACAAAGGAAUACAAAAGAUGUGUUGAGUUUUUUUUGUGUUUAUGAGGAUGAUGUUUUAGUGGAUGAAGAUGAAUUAUUUGUAUUUUGGUAGGUAUAUAUAGGUGUAAAUUGUAAUAUGGAUAUGUGUGUUUUCUUUGUAUGAUUUAUAAAUAGAAGAAAAAGGCCGUGUUUUGGAGGUUGAAGGACGCGCUAGUUUAUUUAUUGGUAGUUUCUUAGAAAUUAUAUUGUGACUAACAAUUAUGUAUAUUAAGUCAUUGACUUGGUAUUUAGUCAAGACUUCUAUUAGGCUAUAGAUGAAUACUUGGUCAAUCUUUUAUGAUUUUGAGUGAUUCUCAUGACUAGGUGUGUACAUGACCGGGUUGGUUUUGAGUUUUUCAAAUAUCAAACCAAAGGCCAUUUGUGUAAAAAAAUUUAAUUUAUAAACCAAACCAAACUAAUAAAAUUUAGAUUUUUUCAACCUCGGGAUGGUUCGGGUUUUUCAAAUACCAAACCAAACCAUUGUGUCGAAUUUUAAAUUUAUAAAUCAAACCAAACUAAACUAAUAAACCUCAGAUUUUUGGAUUUUUUUCGGUAAAGUUUGCAUACAAACAUAUAAUUAACUUGUGUUCCAAAUAUUUCUUUAGUCCAACCAAAAUACAAUUAUCUAAGGUGUUUUUUUAAGAAAUAACACAAAAUAUGAGAUGAGUACUGAUGACACUAAAAUAUUCAAUAAAAAGUAAUAAUGAAAUGAUAAUCAUAUAAAAUAAAUAUUGCAAAGUCAUAAUGAAAAUAAUCAUAAUUUAAAAGUACUAAAUCAUGCUAAAAUAAGUUUAAUAAGUAUUAGUUACAUUAUUAAAUAUUUAAGGAAAAAUAAAAUUAGAUUAUGUAUUUUAAUUGUCUAAAACCAAUGUAAAACUAAAGAACAAAUAUUCAAUAUUAUUGUCAUUCUUAGUGUUGAAUUGAUUUUCUUUUUGCAUUAGUAUUAAUUUGAUUUUGAUUUAAGUUUUAUUAUAAUUAUCAACAUCUAUGAACUAUAAUCUUUAUUGGACCAUUCCGAAUUCUAAGUUUUAAACUUGAAAUAAUAUAUUAAAAGAUAAAAACUAUGAAAUAGUAUAAGAAAUAUUUUAAAAUUAUAUCAAAGUAAAUAAUUUUAUGUAUAAAAUAAAAUUUUAAAAUUACAUAUAUAAUGUUGGGUUGGUUUGGUCUCGGGUUGGGUUUUUUAAGUUAAAACCAAACCAACCCAAAUAUAGUCGGGUUUUUUUUUCCAAUACCAAACCAAGUCAAACCAAAUCACUAGUCAGAUUUUUUUCCCGAUUUGACUCGAUUUACGAUUUGAUUCGAUUUUUGGUUUGGUUGUGUACACUCGGGAUUAAAACUAUAAUUUUUAUUGGACUAUUCCGAAUUCUAUGAACUAUAAACUCGAGAUUAAAUUAAGUUUGAGAUUUAUUUUGUUUUACGAGUAUUAUGAUAUCGAAGGAUGUUAAAGACUCAUAGUUGUAUUUCAAGUAGUGUCUCGAUGGGUGUAUUUUCUUCUUUUCGUUAAUGUGUAAUAUCAAGACUACUAGCCAACAGAAAAAAUCAAUUAUACAGGCAGAAGAGCUGAUUUGACCGUGAAAAUCAAAUACGGACAAAAUUUAUUUAAAGUGUUAGCGCUAUGCCGAUUUAAUUUGCAUACAAGAUUUAGGGAAGUGAGGGCACUCUUUCGAAUUGAAUAGGUAAAACUACUGUAUCUCCUAUUUUUUCGAAAGAAGUCUUCUAACUCGUUUAAAAACGUUGAAGAUAAGAAUAAGUUGAAUUUCAAUUCCACAAUUAUACACAUAUUGCUCAUGUGUACGUAUGAGACUUGUGACUAAAUUGGAAUCUCAAUUAGAACAUUAUGUUUCAUAUUAUGUUGGUAACUUACUUCUCGAUUUUGAGCCCCUUGGAUACGGAGUCGCCUUUGUUAGGAAGCGCUUUACCCCAAUGUGGAAUUUCUUGGCGCGAAUUCGGAUUUAGUCGGGCUCCAAUGUGGUAUCAUGGAAAAAAAAAAGAUGUUUUGAGACAACUUUUGUUGGGCAGCUGUGCUGUCUAUUUUUGCUCCACUUUCCCAAAUAUGCCAUAACACAACAACAUUAUCCUACCAAACUCUAUUUUCGUAUUCAUUAUGAAAAGGAAAAAUGUUACACUUAUCUAUAUUUAUUGAUUUUUACAACGAAUUUAUAAGUUAAUAUUAUCAUAAUAAUUAAUUGAGUUUACAAUUAAUUAUUUAUAAAUAUGAGUCUAAUUUCGUAUAUAUAGGAAAUAUUCCCUUUUAAUCCAACAAGACUUUAGUCUUUUACGAAUGUAAUAAAGCUUCACUUCCAUCUCAUAAAUCCACGAACUCUUGUCAUUGUUGUAAUUCGAUUUUUCUUUAUCUCCCAAUAGAACAAAACUCUGUCCUUUAAACACUGGAUGCAAAUUGAUAGUAUUUUUAUGACUAGAAAAUCUAUCGCCUCCAUACAUAUUAUCUCUUGUUUUAAUUGAAUCGUAGCAAAUCUCAACAUGCCUAUUAAUGGUAGUCAUGUUGAGGGAAAAAUCGUAGUAAAAGCUUUUGUUCGUGUUGGAUAAAUCGAAUUGUGUGAACAUGUCAUCUGUCACAUAAAAUUUGAUUUUGUUAGAACGUAGAACUAGCCAGAGGACUAAUAACGCGAUGAUUCCGAUGAUCAUGAGAAAGAUGAAGAUAAUUUUGAACAGGUAGUUGAAGUCGGCUACAUGGAUUGGGUUCUGGCAUUUUAAGAAAUACAAAAGUAACUAAAAUUGUGUUUAUUUUGAAGUAUAUUAUAUAUUGAAUCAAAAAUAUGUUUUUGUGUUAGAUUGGAACUAUGGAAUAUUGGUAAGCUAAAGGUGAUUAUAUAAUAAUUAAAUAGAAGAAAAAGGUAGUUUGAUAUUUUCAAAAGCACCUUCUUAGAAAUUGAACACAUUGUAACGAAGAUUGCGCGUAGUAUUUAAUUAUUUAUUAUCAAGACUAUUCUCAUUGAAAAAAUCUUCAAAUUCUUUCGUCACAAUUUAAGUGUCUUAGUUUGAUUGGAUAUGAAAUGAAAAAAUAAAGAAAAACUCUUGAUUUUUUGUAAUCUAAAAUUAAAAAUGUGUGCAAUCCUUUAAAGCUCGCGGUCUUAAUCUUGUCACAUGGAAUCUCGGACUUGGAAAACUUAAAUUGGAAUAUAGAGGGAGUAGUAAAAAUUAUUUUUGUACAUUUUCAAGUAACGAUAUAAUAAGAAAAAAGUCACUACGACAAAGAUUGUGAUAAAGUGGUAAGUCAAAGUUUCGAGUUAUAAUCCUCUGAGUACGGAGUUAUCUUUGUUAUGAAGCGCUUUAUUCCCAAAGUGGGACUUCUUGACAUGACUCCAAAUUUAAUCGGACUCCAAUGUUAAUACCAGACACCAGAUAAAAAACCACAAAAAAAAAAAUCACUAAAAUUACAUGUCUCGUACUCUUAUUUGUAGUUUACCUCUCAAGUGAAAGUACUUUUUUUCACGGACUAAAUUUGAAUUUACACCAAGAAAUCUUUCAAAUGAAAUAUUUCCUAACAAACGCGACUUCUUAUACUACUUACCUCUCCAUCACAUUUUUUUUUCGCGAUCGAUCAUUACCACUUUCAAUUCAUAUUACUCUGGAACAUACUGCGCCACCACUUCUCUAAUAAGCCAAAUCACAUCAACAUUAACCUUUGCAAAUUCUCUUUUUCAUAUUUAUUAUGAAGCCAAAACAUGUUAAUUUCACAUGCCUGGUCUUAUUGAAGUAGAAAAAUUUGUGUCACAAUCAAGACAGACAUUUUGGCAAAUGGCUUAUUGGCUAGUCACAUUCACAAGUCUCCAUCAUUUAUUCAUUUGUAAGAAAAACAAUGUCAAUAGCUUAAUGUCAACAUAAAUUGAUCUUAUAUUAAAAUGUCUAUGGUUAAUUUUUCAAUCGAUAAUUAAUCGAAGUUGACGUUAAGAGGUAUAACUCUACCUUGAAAUGACUCGAACUCAUAUAUAUCAAGUAAAUAUAGUUGAGCUACUAAUUCGAGAAUCUACAUUACACACCGUGACAUAUUCAAGAUUUUCAGUAAGGAAUCACGAAAAAUAAAAUAUGUUGUGUUUGAGAUAUGAACUUGAAACCUCGAGUGAAGUAUGAACCCCUAAUCAGUCUAUGUAUAUUUUUAAGUUUAAGGGAUUCAAAAUUUUAUAUAUAUAUUUAAUACAUUUUUUGUCGAGCGAGUGGGUUCGGGUGAAUCCCCUCCUGACCCCCUAGAUCCGCCCCUGUCUGCAGAAAAUUAACAUGAUUUUUCCCAAUAAAGGUAAAAGUAAAAGAUUUUUUGAUUAAUUGAGUAGGCAUGGGAAAAUGUCUUACUAGGGAGAUUUUUCGGACUUAUCUAUAUGACAAUAUAUUGAAUAAUGAAAUUUGUGGAUUUCUUUAACCAGGCCAGCUAUCCUUAGAAGGGUAGGAAUAUAUAUCAAAAUAGAAUUUAUAUCGAAAAAUAAUUAGAACUAUUAACAUCAAGCUAGAAAAUUCUUUCGAAACUUCCACAGAUAUUUAUAUUGGGUGUAUACUCUCUCCAUUCCGAUUUACGUAAUAGUGAUAUAAGAAACAAAAUAUAAAAGAGAAAACAAGUCUUUUAAAGCAACCAAUAUGUAUAUUUCUGUAAUGUCAACCUUAGCCUUUUCUUGACCUUUACUUUAUGUUCUCUAUGUGAAAAGCAAAAUGUCAACUUUGCCUUUUCUUCAAAAUUAAAAUUUGGCUUUAAUACACUUUAAUUAACUUCCAAACUACUAUAUUAAUAAACAAAAAACUAUAGAAUCCAAAUUCCAGGAUAAAGAAAAUCAGCAGAAAUAAAACAAACUCAUUAUUUAUUAACAACCAUAAUAUAUAUCCAAAUAACAAGAAAGGAGAUAAAUCCCCUAAUCAAGAAAUUAUACUAAUAUAAUCCAAUGAAUAUAGGAAAUACAACAAAUCACAAAUAAAAAAAAAAUAAAAAAAAAUUACCAAUCAAGAUGGCACCUAGUUACAUCAAAAUUAACAGAUCUGCCACUAGACUCCAAAGGUACCUUAAAAUCACACUCAAUUUUGGGCUUAAUUUUGUGAGUUUUAAUCCAACCAAUCUUUAGCCUUAUACGCAUAUAAAGCUUCAUUUCCAUCUCAUAAAUCCCUAAAUUCUUCUCAUUAUUAUAAUUUGUUUUCUCUCUAUCUCCCAAUAGAACCAAAUUUUGUCCUUUAAAUACUGGAUGCAAAUAGCUAGUAUUUUUGUGACCUUGAUAAAAUCGUUCCAAAUUUUGACUAGCAAAUCUCUGGCCUUGAUACAUACCUCUUGCUUCGAUCGAAUCGUAGUAAAUCCCGAUUCGUUUGUUAGGGUUCCUAAUAGUCAUGUUGAGUGCAAGAUCAUAGUAGAGGGUGUUGUUUGUAGUGGAAUAAUCGAAUUGUGUCAAUGUGGCAUCUGUCACAUAGAAAUUGACCUUGUUAGGACGUAGGACUAGCCAGAGGACUAAUGCAAUGACUCCGAGGACGAUGAGGAUGGUGAAGAUGAUUUGAAAAAUACAGUUGCAUAGGCAACCGAAGAGGCAGCUGCAAGGGUUGCAGCUGCUUCCCCGUCCAUGUCGGUGGUAGGAUUUGGACGGGGGCGGAAUGGAUGGGCCAUAAUAGGCUCCGUUCAAGUUGGACAUAGCUUAUAACAAAUACAAGAAAGUCAAAAUUCAGUACAACUUUUUUUUUCUUUGUUCCUUUGGUGUAAUAUAAGAUGAAAAAAAAUAUAUAGAUGAGAGUUAUGAUCCUAUGGUGAGUUCAGGUUAAUUUAUAUAGGUGUUUGUAUAGUCUAUGAUUUAAUGUGUAUAUUAUUUGAGUAGGUAAAAUAUGUUGAAUUGGUAAGCAAAAGUGGAUUGAUUUGAAUAAAAUACCGUGUUUUUAUGUUCUUUGAAAUGACGACGCGGUUGCUUCUUGGCAAGACUUCGCAUAUAAACGCUACAUCAUUCUCAAUCAGAGAUCUCAAAUUCGAGUUUUUUAAUACAGAGUCAUCUUCGUUAGGUAGAGUUUUAUCCAUGUGGAAUUUUUCGACGUGAUUUCAAAUUUAGUCGGACUCCAAUAUUAAUAUCAAACAUUGAAUGAAAAAAAAAAACUUAAAACCUGUUUGGAUUGACUUUUAACUUUUGCAUUUGGCUCGGAAGGCUUGCUUACUAAGUACGUAGUAAUUAAUUUAUUAUUGCUAAAAAUGGUAAGAGACGUAAGUUUGAAAUAUGAGAUGAAUAAGAUAAUAAAAUGUCUAAUCAUCGAAAGAAUGUUUAACAUAAUGGAUAAAGUCAGAAAGAAAGAAGAUUUUUUGAUGAGCUAAUAUUGAUGUCUCAAGUUCAAUUAACUACUCUAAUUUUACUAUUUCUAUUCAAAUUAAUAAUUAAAAACAAAACACAAUUUUGAAUUUUACUGUGUUGAAAAAAAAGAAAUUGGUUUUCUUUUAGUUUUUUCAAGAGGAUACAUCAAUAACCUCUUUAAUUUAUCAAUAAAUUUUAUUUAGACACUAAAAUAUGGCAUAUUUCAUGCGAAUACAUGAAUAUAUGAUAAAGUUAUCCUAUUAGACACAUUUAGUUUAAAUUUAGAAAAUUCUUUUGCAAUUUCUUAUUGCAUAGAUUAGUUAAUCACAUAAAAUAUGACUCAUAUAUGAUAUAGUAAUACAUUAGCCUCAAUUGGAACAUAUUUUUUUUAACUUAAGGAACAUGCUUGAGGUUUUACAAUUCAUUCAAUCUAAUGUAUAAUUAAGAAAAAUGAAAUAUUUUAAGUAAUUAACUUAUCUAGAUAAACGUUUGAAAACAUAUUCAAAGCAUUUCCAAAAUUGACUGUAAAUAUCUAGUAGGAAUACUUUAUGAUGUAUUGAGUUGCUCAAAUAAAAUAGACCAUCAUUUAAGAAAUUAUCGACAUAUUUAAUUAAUUUUGUAAGCUUCAAAUCAUGACUUUCAUUAUCAGACAAACCACGUGUCCUACUAAACUGCUUUAAAAAUUCAAAUAAGAUCAAACAUAUAUAUAUCAUUUUCACUUGAAAUUGUCUUCAUAGAAGUUUCCACUUUUUUUCUAUUUCCUUUUUAUUUAGUCAUGAACUAAAAAUUCAACAACAUAUAAGUAUGAAACUAAUCUUUUAUUUACGCGUGACAAUUUUAUUUUUAAAAAAAUAACAGCGACCCUUAAAAUACCAUGUAUACAAAUUUCAACAUCAAUGUAUAUUUAGUCAUAAAAUGAGACUUUUCAUUACCUAAUCAACAUAUAUAUGAUACCUACAUGGAGUAUUUGAUUUUGACUAUAUUGUUUGAAAUACAUUUUAUAUUAAAUCCGAGUGGUUAGGUUGUGAAAUAAGAAAAUGCUAUAGAAACAAAUGUAUGUAAGCUAAUUAUAAUUAAAAUCCAAUUGGAAACGCAUUACGUGUUCACGCAGGGUGAGGGAAAGGAUCGCACCUCAAGAAAUAAGAAAAUGCUAUAGAAACAAAUGUAUGUAAGCUAAUUAUAAUUAAAACUCAAUUGGAAACGCAUUACAUGUUCACCUCAAGAAAUGCGAUGUAAAUUGUCUAUGCUAAAGCAAAUAUUAGUGAUUGUUUUCACAACUCGAAUUUGUGAUCUAUAAAUCACAUGAAGACAACGUUAUUGUUACUUUAAAGGCUCCUGUUCAAUUAAAACCCAAGUACAUUGCAUAGAUUAUGUGAAAAACUUUGAUGGGGGAUUUCUAGGAAUAAUGUAAACAAUCUUCUAUGAAACAUCGGCACAAUCCUAUGUAACUCAGCUACAAUUUAGAUUGUGAACCUUUCCCUUGCGAUAUGUAUUUAUACAAAUGUAAUUAUAUAUAUUGACGAUUGACUAGUAAUUAAAGUAAUUCAUACUUUAUUUGUGGAAUCAGACUGAAUAUAU